rnacentral:lncRNA from 1 species
CCUCGUUACAUUGUGAUGCAAUAUGUUAUUCCAUUUGGAAAGAUAUUUCAUUUACGCCACUACAGUUGCAGCUUGAAGUCGCGCUGGUAUUAAAAAAUGUAGUAAAAGGUAUUAAAUUCAACUUAAGAAGUUCUGUAUAUACCUGUCAGGAACGUGAAGAGAGAGAACUCAAAUGCAUAGGAUUCGUGCAACAGUUUAUUUGGCAUAAUAGAAAAUCCAAUAAUAAUCCAACGUGUAGUGACACACACACGAACAGAAACCUGGUGUAACAACUCCAGAGCCGUCCGUACAGACACCUGCGGACACAGGCUGUGGAGACCACCUCUGUUGCAAUGCCCAACGUGACGUGGAAACGAGACAGAGGAUCUCGGGCACAUGGCCAACAGAAAGACUCCUCGUCUAGGCGUCCUGAGCACAGCAGCAGAAGAAGGAGAAAAAAAAAGUCAUUAUCAAAAUAGCCUUUUAAAAGCCGACACAGAAAGCCCCGGAGGGUGGAUUUUAUUAACUAAGUUACAACUUGAAGAACUGACAAAAAGAAUAAGAAAAAGAUUCAAGCUCCAGUAAAGAAAGAUGAAUCAGAACAGAUGACAGUGAUGUCUCCAGUAAAUGCUCCUCCACCACUUAUUCAGCCAAGCCCCCCUGCAGCAGUCCCUCCAAAUGCACACCAGAUCCCUGCACCCAUCAUAAAUAUCUAUACUCAACAACCAGGGCCAAAGGGAUAGAAAAGAAAACCAGUAUAGAGAGAACAGAGAGGAAGAAGCAAGCCUUAUACUGGUCCUCCAGGAGUGUGCUGGAGAUGGGGACAACAUGGACAUAAUAAGAAUGACUGCCCCACCAAUCCAUGGCAACAGCCACCUAGGAGUGAAAGGGGGGAGAGUUGGCAGCAGCCCACCCAGGGUCCAUUGCAGGGCCCAGUAAACCCUUGGGGAGGUCCAAAUCAAGGAUAUUAGGGGUGCCCAGAGAAUCCAGUUGGGGAGAGUCAGCUUCCAAUUUUAACAACUAAAGCUGAUCAAGAACCUAUUCUGCAAAUUGAAUUAGAGGGAAAACCCACACCAAUGAUGGUACACACAGGAGCUGUAUAUUAUUAUUAUUAUUACAUUUUUAUUUAACAUGGACAUCACAGUUACAUUGGACAAACCAUUUGCACUUGCUUAAGUGUUUUAGCACACAUGCUAAUUUUCAACACCAGUCCACAGGAGGCUUUUCAGAGAACCAAAAAUAAAUAAAUAGAUAACAAUGUUAAUGAUAAUAAAUAAUAGUAACAAUGUUAACAAUAAAAGUAAUAACAAUACUAAUAAAGAAAAAGUAGAAAAAGAAAAAAUUAAACAAAAAUUAACAAACAAAGAAAAGAAAAAAUAAAAUAGAAAAGAAAGGGAACAAUCAACAAGAAAAGAAAAAAUAAAUAGAAAAGAAGGGACAAUACAUUCAGAAUUAUUUACAUACAUAAGCUAUAAGCAAAGACAACAUAAUCAGACAAUAUUGCAAUGGUAAUUUGGUAUGAAGAACUAUUCAUGUGAGCACUGUUUUUUUUUUUUUUUUUUUUAACCAUUGUCUAAGUCCUCCGUUAAAAGCAUUACCUCUAAAAGCAUGGUCUCUAGUUUUAAUUUAGUAGGUAAAGCAUUCCAGCUGUUUGAACUUAAAUUUGUCCGUAGUUGAUUUUAAUUUUGAUUUACCACUUUUAACCAUCCAGUUUAUG